CUCUCUAUAUAUAUAUAUAUAUGGAAGAUUGUAAUUACUAUUCUCAUUUCUACUUGAGUAUAAUUACAAAUUGACUUUACUGCAAAAUCUUUAGCAAGUCAAUUAUUGGAUUGAUGAUAUAAUUUUGAGUCUAUUUGGUAAUAUUAACUAUUUUAAUAGCUUUCAGUUGUUUUAGUAGUUAUCAAUUAUUAUAUAUUAGCUAUAAUUAUUUUAGAGUCUAAAUUAAAUUAGAAUUUAGAGAUUACAUAAAAUAAAAAGUUUAGUAAAUUUAAAUUUUGAAGUUUACUAAUUAGAAGUUUUACAAAGAUUAGGUUUUAGUGGCCUUUUGGUUGGCCAUUAUAUUGUAGAAAACUUACAAAGUGGGGAUGUAUGUUGAAUUCUAUGAGUUUUGCUUGAGUGAAUUUGAAGGUAAAAAAAAUAAUUAGCUAUUGUAAUUAUUAAUUUUUCUUUAAUAGUAGAUUUAUUAGUAGAAUAGACUUACGUCAAAUCACGUUGUAUGGGUGUAAUUUUCAUAGCAAACUAUUGAAUAUUAGUUGUUUGUGGUUAAUUAUUUAUACAGUAAUUUAAACUAGAAGUCUUCGAUAAAAAUAGUUGUUGGAUUAUUUGUUUAAUGUAAAAACAACGGUAUCAUCUUUUUUAUGUUAGUUAAAAUAAUUUUUCACAUCUAAAAGUAAAAUAUCGAACUGUAUAAUUAAGAUAAAUAGUGUUUUG
rnacentral:misc_RNA from 1 species